ensembl:lncRNA
ACUCGGGUCCCGCUCCUGUCUCUCUGAAGAGAAAAUGCCUAGGGUCUAGGACGCACUUGAGUACCUGUUUGCUUUCGAAUUUCUCUUUGAACCACACUCGGGAGUCCAGGUUCCGGGGAAACUCCAGGACCUCCUUCUAACCCACACCGUCUGGGGCCCUACCCAAUGCGUCCUUCCUACACUCCAAUCUUUGUCAAGAGACAGUCAUUACGCAGCAGUCGGUGCUCUGGGAGCCGUCGGUGUUGGCUUUCACCACGCGCUCAGCUGCGCGGGUUGUGUGUUUUCGCAUUUUAUCCUGAGAUGUGGUACGGGCAAUAUACCAGCGGACAGCACAUUUGCGGAGUGCCAGGUACCCUCUAGGCAUACCUGGGGAAAUGUAACCUCACUUUCUACUCUACAACGGGCAGGUUGUCCGUUCAAUUUUAGGAGGUGGAGAAGGGGAGACAGCGCAACUUGGUGAGUGGAUGUGUUUGCAGUCAGGAGUAUAUUUAAACAUUUCAGCAAACCCAGUGCGGUCGGUUGUUUACAGUUGCGGAGACGGACGAUCUCACUCCACUCGUAGAUGUCGUCUCAACAUGUGGAUUUACAGUCGUUUCCGCAGGAACCGGCUGAGACGCCUGAGGUCCGGGCUCCGGCAGCGCCCGGCGGGGCUGAGCACCUGGCGAGGGGGCGGGGGACCGCACCUGGGGACGCCACUGAAACUUGCGCCUGGACUAGGAAUUACAAGGGUGACCUUUAUUCAGCUGUCUCCUUUUCGAUUCUCAUAACUUCUGGAUCUAUCAAGCCUAUUUGAAGCAAGAAAAGCUUGAAAAAAAUGGAUGAAUCCAUGUUUAACUGCAAAGGAAAAGAUUGAAUGAGGAAGGUCUGGCUUGCUAAUUAUGAACCCUUUAACUUUUUUAUACCUCACUAAAUGCUGCAUUCAGAGAAGGUGAUGGCACCCCACUCCAGUACUCUUGCCUGGAAAAUCCCAUGGACGGAGGAGCCUGGUAGGCUGCAGUCAGUCCGUGGGGUCGCUAAGAGUCGGACACAACUGAGCGACCUCAUUUUCACUUUCAUGCUUUAGAGAAGGAAAUGGCAACCCACUCCAGUGUUCUUGCCUGGAGAAUCUCAGGGACAGGGGAGCCUGGUGGGCUGCCGUCUAUGGGGUCACCCAGAUUUGGACAAGACUGAAGUGACUUAGCAGCAGCAGCAGCAGCAGCAAAUGCUGCAUUAACUUAAAAUGUGAAUAAAUUUUCCUUAUCAAUAUGAAAAACCUGCCAUUAACUCUACCCUUCAUUGUAUUUACUAUUAACUCUAUCUCUCAUCCUCUAUCCAGUCCCUAGUUUUGGCUGGUUCUGCAUCAGAAAUAUCUUCUUAAAUUGAUCUUUAUACCUCUCUGUGUUGACAUGUUGACUUCGUGUUCACAUAAAAUUCACAAAUGUUGUCUUGUGAAUUUUGCUGAUCUUUACUGCAUAUUAAAAGGUAUAAAAGUUCUCUUUGAAAAGGGAUAGUGUUAUAGUUAGGAUUGCUAUCAUAGUUUCCAUAAUUCAGAAAGUUAGAAAGCACGUUGUAAAGAGUUAACUUUGUCCUAUGCCAGUGAACCCAACUUUGAUCAAACUAAACUCGAGUCCUCAGCUCUGAGAGGGCAUUUGUUCUCAGUGUUUUCUGCUUGAUUUCCCUCAGUUGAAAUGAAAUGGAUGAAUAAUUUUAAUUUGUCUUUUUUGCAUUCAAAUAUAAAAAGUCAUUGAGUGUUAGUUGAAAAUUUAUGAAGUGACAGUCUUGUUAAUAAAGAUAAAUGAGAUGGCUUGUUUUAUUAAUAUUAAUGUUGCACAUAAUGUAGCUCUGCUAAAUAAAUAUAGGGUUACAUUUUGCAAAUUUUGCAAACUAAAAAAAAAAAUCUAUAGCGUUUGUAGAGCUUAAGGCCAAGUUGUGAUCUUCAGGUGCAUUUUAUUUGUGGGUAAAUUUAAAAAAUUGGAAGAUCACUUGAAUUUAUUUUAAAUGUUUCUAAGAAAAUAUUGUUACAGAUUUAAUGAUUUCCAGUAUUUGUAGUGAUGUCUCAAUCAUCAUACUUAAACAAUGAGGACUAAUGUAAAACAUAUAGAUGUCUGGUAAAUGAAAGGCAGAAUCCUCCAUGCUUUAAUAUAAGUCAGUCCCAUCAUUAUGAACUCCAUAGGGGAGUCACAUGUUCUGGCUACAGUGAAAUGCUUAUAGCCUCAAAGAAAAAGUCAGGCCCAGAUUUUCUGUGGAAGAUGGGUACUGAAUUAAUAGGGGAAAAUGGGAAAGGAGAAAGUCUUGGGCAUGUCUUCAUUUCACUCAUUUAUUCUUUAAAUAUUUGUGAGUGCCUAUUAUGAGAUGGUUGGUCCAUUACCAACUCAAUGGACAUGAAUCUGAGCAAACUCUGGGAGACAGUGAAGGACAAGGAAGCCUGGUGUGCUACAGUCCAUGGUGUUGCAAAGAGUUGGACACGACUUAACAACUGAGCAGCAACAACAACAAAAAUUAUGUACCAGGUCUAUGAUGGGUCCUGUGAAUAAGACAGUUCUUGCCCUCAUGGCUGUUCAUCCCUUUACUUCUCAGAUGGGGUGCUCAUGUGCUUCAAUGAUAUUUUUGCUUCUCUUGGAAUUUGGCUGAAUCCUUCUGGUCAAAGUCCUAACUUAGUAAAGAUGAUUAAGAUGUUGAGGUAGAGAGAAGGGAGGUAAGUUAUUGCUGAACAAAAAUGAUGUGAAAAGCUUAGGUAUUCUCUCCUUAACCUCUUUCCCUUUUGACUGCAUGCCUAAGCUUUCACAAUGGAUUAGCAAGUGGAAUGUGUGGGGUGGCAGCACAGGACUCGAUUUCAAGUUUUUUCAUGAUUAUUUUGGAAAGUGAUAGAAAUUAGAAGCCCAGUUUGGCUACACCAGAGGUAGUUCACUUCAGUUCAGUCGCUCAGUCGUGUCCGAUGCUUUGCGACCCCAUGAAUCGCAGCACACCAGGCCUCCCUGUCCAUCACCAACU